UACGGAGGGUGCGAGCGUUAAUCGGAAUUACUGGGCGUAAAGGGCGCGUAGGCGGUGAAGUAAGUCGGGUGUGAAAGCCCCGGGCUCAACCUGGGAACUGCAUUCGAUACUGCUUCGCUAGAGUAUGGUAGAGGGAAGCGGAAUUCCGGGUGUAGCGGUGAAAUGCGUAGAUAUCCGGAGGAACACCAGUGGCGAAGGCGGCUUCCUGGACCAAUACUGACGCUGAGGCGCGAAAGCGUGGGGAUCAAACAGGAUUAGAUACCCUGGUAGUCCACGCCCUAAACGAUGAGAACUAGCCGUUGGAGGAAAUUAGUCCUUUAGUGGCGCAGCUAACGCGAUAAGUUCUCCGCCUGGGGAGUACGGCCGCAAGGUUAAA
rnacentral:rRNA from 1 species